rnacentral:tRNA from 1 species
UGUGGGUUGGCUCAGUGGAUAGAGCUAAGGCCUCGCGACUGGGAGGUCCGGGUUCGAAUCCGGAAUUUUAU